rnacentral:rRNA from 1 species
GGGUAGAUCUCCCACCCUUGAAUAUUAUACCUUCGUUGCUUUGGCAGGCCGUGGAAACACCAGAGGCUCCGGCUGAUGCGUGCCUGCCAGAGGAAACAAACUCUUGUUUAGUGAUGUCUGAGUACUAUAUAAUAGUUAAAACUUUCAACAACGGAUCUCUUGGUUCUGGCAUCGAUGAAGAACGCAGCGAAAUGCGAUAAGUAAUGUGAAUUGCAGAAUUCAGUGAAUCAUCGAAUCUUUGAACGCACAUUGCGCCCCUUGGUAUUCCGAGGGGCAUGCCUGUUCGAGCGUCAUUAUGACCACUCAAGCCUAGCUUGGUAUUGGGGUUCGCGGUUCCGCGGCCUCUAAAAUCAGUGGCGGUGCCGUCUGGCUUCAAGCGUAGUAAUUUUCUCGCUACGGAGUCCGGGCGGUUGCUUGCCAAAACUCCCCCAACUUCUCACGGUUGACCUCGGAUCAGGUAGGGAUACCCGCUGAACUUAAGCAUAUCAAUA